GAAGAGGGGUUAAUUGAAAACAUUUUAAUUGUAAUUAAAAGAUAAUUUAUCUCAGUUAAAGAAUGAUGAAGCAUUUUGUUAAAAAUUAACACAUUUAACCGCAAUUUUCAAACUCUAACGGCUAAUUGAGCGAGCCGUAAUUACCAUUCUUAUCUUUUCUCGGCUUACAAGGGUUGAUUUCUUAAUCUAGAAGCUUCUUAUUUUUUAUUAAUCUGACAUAUGCCUAUGUUGGUUUAAGUAAGCCAACUUGCUUGUUUCACGACAAUUCAUUAAAUGUUAAUCCCAGUAAGCUUAUUUAUAAAUUAAUAAUUCAAUUAAAGAUUGUAACACUGAAAAUGGUUUUGGCUCAUCUUUUGGUUGGUAUCAUGUGUUUUUGUCACCUUUUCAUUUUCUUAAGUGUAUCCUACUGCAAAGUAAACCAACUGUUAUGCAACUUAUGUUCACCAUUACCAUUAAAAUAACCAGCAAAAGUCAUUUUCAACAUUAAACUUAUUCAAGUAUCAACAGUUGAGAAGUUCAUUUAAUUCAAACAAGACCAUGGACGUAUCGUGAUGAUUGCCAAUUAGCAAAAUACACGAUCUCGUUUGCAACCGACAAUUAAAGUCAACAACUCAAGUCCUUUUUCUACUCGUUGGUAUUAGACUGACCAUCAUCCACUACAUUUUUGCAUUUUCGUUUGGAUUUUACGGUUAAAUGUUUAAUUUACUUUUACAUGCUUUUACCUACUUUGAACUACUCUCAACUGGCCUCCCUCCUUCAACAAAAUUAAUUACUCAUGGGCAAGGACUUGCUGAUUAUUUUCUAUUUGCUUGUUAACUCUCAAGUAGUUCAAGAAAAUUGAUUACUCCAAAAACCAUGAUUAUCAUUAUUACCUUCACAACGACGCUCAUUAAAGUUGUUACAAGCCGUGUAAAUCCAAUUUCGAAGCUCUGGUGAUAACCAAUUGGUUGCCAAUGAUUGACAUUCUCGAGGCACCCGUUGUUUCAUACAUCUAUCUAAGGCAAUGUUUCGACAGCAUUCUUUACCAAUACCUGUAAGAAAGAAAAGGCAUUAUUAUCCAAAUGAUGAUAUGAUAUAUUGGUAAAUUGAGAUUCCAGCAAAAAGAUAUCUUUCCAAGCAGUAUUUCAUCCCUUCAUCGUUUCCAGGAUUUCCUCAAAUCAAUAUAUUGAAAAGAUAAUCUCAAUCAUUUAUCGUCACAAUGUUUGAAAUCCAAGGUAGUGUCAAAGCGACAACAAAUCAAAUGGUAAUUUGGUAUACACCGGAUCUAUUGAUUAUUUCAAGAAACAAGGAAAUGUGCUGCUCUUUUGAAAGCUGUGAUUCUGAUUCUGUUUGCAUCUACUUUGUGCUCUUCAUUUCAUCUUAACUCAAUUUCCAACCAGUUUUUGCUCCACUAAUUCAUUCAUAUUAUUUUGAAUGGAUUGCAUAUUGUUCAUAACUCCAUCAUUACUCUGUUUCUCCCUACCAAUAAGCCUCUCUUUAAUUAUCAUCUCCAUUUUCCUUAUCAACUUUCAUCUUGAUCAUCCAUUGACAUUGCAUUCUAUUAAGGUUUCUUCAACAUUCAACUCUGAACCAGGAAAAACUCUAAUUCCACUCCAACUCAAUGUUUUGCUAAUUGAAACAUGAUACUAUGAAUAUACAUUUGAGUGAAAUACAACAACCAUCAUAAUAAUAGAAUAAGCUGAAUUUUGGUUGGAAGGAGGAAAACAACACAAACACUCACAUUUAGAUACACAGAAACACACUAAAACCAAGGAAAACAAUAAUGUUAAAGAAAUUGCUUGCAUCGAAAAAUUGCGUUCAAGAUGAUCAAGAAAUACCGUUAAUGUUGCAGGAGAAAUGGGUUUUACCUCAUCAUUUUUGUUCACCCUCAUCUUAUUGACUUGAUAACAUAAAGCUGAAUUUUGGUUUCAACAAUUGCUAUUGAUAACAUUUAUUUCCUUUGAUGAUUCAAUGGAUGGCCAAAAAUUUACUCCCUUAUUAAGGAUGAAAUAAUGUGCAAGUCAAGAUGCAACUCAAGGAAACAAAAACCGGUGCACAUUGGAUCAAAGAAUGGCCAUUCAGACGAAAAAGUAAAUGUUCAUUUUCACCAUCAUCAACAAGAAACUUGGAUUAGAGAAGAAGAUGAAGUACAAGAAAAGUUGGAGAAGAGGAUUGAAGCCUGGAUGAUAUUACAUUCUAUAAGUAGCACAGAGCAUCGUAUUCCGCCACCAGUGAAGUAAAUUCAAUAAAAUCACCAACAGUGAGAAAGUUAACAGCAAAUAUAAUAUUCUGCUCACGAUGAUUACAUUGAAUUGUUUGUAAAAAGAGGUAAACUUAGCAAAAAUUGGUUGGCGCAAAAGGUCCUGUCAACUCUUGUUAAAUCUUGAUAAUGUCUUUGCUAAUUUUACUUCUUCCAACUCACUUCUUCUUCCUCUUUUACUUGUUACUCUUUUUUUUAUCAUCAUCGUUAUCGUCAUCUUCUUACUUCUCUUCUUCGUCUUCUUUCCCACCUUCCAUAAUGCAGUCACUCAAGCACAAAGAUCAGAACAAAUUCAGGUUGAUUGGGUUGUCAAUUGAACGGAGACAGCCAAGUUUACAUCUUUCCCAUUGAUUUUGGUUAACACAUUUUCCCAAACUAUUCAAUCACAAUCAGUAUCAUUUAAAGUCUCACAUUUCAUAACUAUUACCAUCAUCAUUGAAAGGUUAAUCAAUAUGGACAAUUCCCAAAGAGGUGAUGACUUGAUUAAUUGGAUUAAUCGCUCCAAAAAUUGCAAUAACAAUGAACACAAUUAAUCGUUUAAUAUUGUUCCCAGUUUUAUUAAGGAUUAAAGAAGCGAAAAAAGGAUCCAUAAUAUUUGGUGGUGUUCGGUUCCAAAAUGAAUAGCUGCAGACCUAAUUGAAUUGUAAUUGACUUGAUGAAUGACAGCUAGGAACAAUUAAUUACGGAGAAUCAAAAGAUAAAACAAAAGGUUUCACCAUUUAAAUAUCACGAGAUAACUAAUCACGAGUUUGAAUCAUAAAUAUUGGGAUCACACCAUCAUAAUGAAAAGCUCAUUGGCUGACAAUGGUUUCAACUGUCGGCUUCACAAUUCAAACAAAGAUAAUGCUAUUUGUAUAAACUUUACAAGAUCAGUUGAGUGAACCAUUUCAACAAAAGGAAACCCAAAUUAAAAGCCUGAAAAAACAUGAUAAAUGCCUGAAGCCAUCAGUAUCUAAAGAAAAGGAGAAAAUGAAAGUCAAAAAAUAGAGGAAUCAAAAAAGAUGGAGAUGAAGAUGAAGAGUAAACAAUCAUGAUGGAGUCUUGAUCGUUUGUGAACAAUAUUUUCAUUUUUCAUCCUUUCCAUUCUUAUUCAUCUUCAUCCUCUGGUAUUCAAUCCUUCAUAACAUUGCCAUUGUAAAGAUUGAACAAGAAGGCGCAAAAGACUUGAAAAUGUUUCCUAUGUUAACCUUUUACACCCUUGGAUGAAUGUGAACUGAAUAUUUUUCCACUGAUUAUACCAUUUGCUUGUUGAUGAUGUCAACACCUUGAGGCUUUGUUGAUUAUAUUUUUUUUACCUUCCAUCAGAUCCUUCAUCAUGGAACAUAUUGUUAUUUAUUUCUCCAUUAUAUAAACAUGAAGACUUCUUUCUCUGUUUUCUUGUUUUUUUUCAUCAACUACAAAAACUAUCAAGUGAAUAAUAAUGGCAAGUUUCCUGAUUUUAAUAAUAAUGUAACUCGAGUUUGAAAAGUCAAGCAAUCCAAAGUGAAUUGUUUUCUCAUCAUCAUCGCCGUUCUCCUCAAUUCAUCUUAAAUUUAUAAACUCUUCACUGAAGAGAUACUUUUUCACUUGAACCAUCUGAACCCAAGAGAUAUUCAAUGAUUCCAAUGAUUGAUCAACGAUUUUCAAGCUUUUAUCGAACGCCAAAUUUUCAAAAAUUCAGGUUUUUCUAUUUCCAAUCUAGACUUUCAGUUGACUGUUUAAAAAUAGCAUAAUUUUGACUCUUUUGGUUUAUUUGGUAACAUUUAUAAUGUUAUAUUUUCCAGUGAAAAGUAUGUAAAGUUGAAGCUUAUUACAGCAAUUAUUUGCUUGGAUUAACUUGUUAUUUUUGAAUAAAUUUACACCUUUAUUCAAAGGAGGAAAAAAAGGUUGAUUAAUCGAUAUUUCCUCUUAAUUAACAUUCAAAUGAGCUUUCAGUUUUAAUCAACUAAAUCAUCAUAAAUGAGACUUGAUAAUCAAUAUUCAAAUUUGCCAAAAUUUUAGCCUCUUAAGAGUAAAAUAAAGUUAAGCUUAAAUUAAA